rnacentral:rRNA from 1 species
AUUGAACGCUGGCGGCAGGCCUAACACAUGCAAGUCGAGCGGAUGAAGGGAGCUUGCUCCUGGAUUCAGCGGCGGACGGGUGAGUAAUGCCUAGGAAUCUGCCUGGUAGUGGGGGAUAACGUCCGGAAACGGGCGCUAAUACCGCAUACGUCCUGAGUGAGAAAGUGGGGGAUCUUCGGACCUCACGCUAUCUGAUGAGCCUAGGUCGGAUUAGCUAGUUGGUGGGGUAAAGGCCUACCAAGGCGACGAUCCGUAACUGGUCUGAGAGGAUGAUCAGUCACACUGGAACUGAGACACGGUCCAGACUCCUACGGGAGGCAGCAGUGGGGAAUAUUGGACAAUGGGCGAAAGCCUGAUCCAGCCAUGCCGCGUGUGUGAAGAAGGUCUUCGGAUUGUAAAGCACUUUAAGUUGGGAGGAAGGGCAGUAAGUUAAUACCUUGCUGUUUUGACGUUACCAACAGAAUAAGCACCGGCUAACUUCGUG